rnacentral:ncRNA from 2 species
CACGGUUGCCACGGGAGUCCGGGUCCACCGGGCUGAGAGGCGGGUUCGCCCGCGACCGUUCGCACCUGAUCCGGAUCAUGCCGGCGCAGGGAGGGCCCCGACCUUUCUCG